rnacentral:rRNA from 1 species
GUCUAUACGGUGAAACUGCGAAUGGCUCAUUAAAUCAGUUAUCGUUUAUUUGAUAGUACCUUUCUACUUGGAUAACCGUGGUAAUUCUAGAGCUAAUACAUGCUAAAAACCCCGACUCACGAAGGGGUGUAUUUAUUAGAUAAAAAGCCAACGCCCUUCGGCUGCGUGGUGAUUCAUAAUAACUUCACGAAUCGCAUGGCCUUGCGCCGGCGAUGGUUCAUUCAAAUUUCUGCCCUAUCAACUUUCGAUGGUAGGAUAGUGGCCUACCAUGGUGUCAACGGGUAACGGGGAAUAAGGGUUCGAUUCCGGAGAGGGAGCCUGAGAAACGGCUACCACAUCCAAGGAAGGCAGCAGGCGCGCAAAUUACCCAAUCCCAACACGGGGAGGUAGUGACAAUAAAUACUGAUACAGGGCUCUUUAGGGUCUUGUAAUUGGAAUGAGUACAAUCUAAAUCCCUUAACGAGGAACAAUUGGAGGGCAAGUCUGGUGCCAGCAGCCGCGGUAAUUCCAGCUCCAAUAGCGUAUAUUAAAGUUGUUGCAGUUAAAAAGCUCGUAGUUGAACCUUGGGCCUGGCUGGCCGGUCCCCCUAACCGGGUGCACUGGACCGGCCGGGCCUUUCCUCCUGGGGAGCCACAUGCCCUUCACUGGGUGUGUCGGGGAACCAGGACUUUUACUUUGAGAAAAUUAGAGUGUUCAAAGCAGGCCUAUGCUCGAAUACUUCAGCAUGCAAUAAUAGAAUAGAACGUGCGGUUCUAUUUUGUUGGUUUCUAGGACCGCCGUAAUGAUUAAUAGGGACAGUCGGGGGCAUCCGUAUUGAACUGUCAGAGGUGAAAUUCUUGGAUUUGUUCAAGACGAACUACUGCGAAAGCAUUUGCCAAGGAUGUUUUCAUUAAUCAAGAACGAAAGUUAGGGGAUCGAAGACGAUCAGAUACCGUCGUAGUCUUAACCAUAAACUAUGCCGACUAGGGAUCGGGCGACGUUAUUUUGUUGACUCGCUCGGCACCUUACGAGAAAUCAAAGU